rnacentral:rRNA from 1 species
GACAGAGGCCUCGAGCGUUAGGCGGAAUCACUGGGCUUAAAGCGUGUGUAGGCGGGCCCGUAAGUGUCUUGUGAAAUCCCACGGCUCAACCGUGGAACUGCUGGGCAUACUGCGGGUCUUGGGCCAACUAGGGGCAGCCGGAACAAGCGGUGGAGCGGUGAAAUGCGUAGAUAUCGCUUGGAACGCCGAAGGUGAAAACAGGCUGCUGGGGUUGCGCCGACGCUGAGACACGAAAGCCAGGGGAGCAAACGGA